rnacentral:lncRNA from 1 species
GAGGUCAAGGUGAAGAUUAAGAUUGAGUCGAGGUGAAGAUCGAGGCUAAGCUAUCAAGUCCAAGGUAUUUCACCAAGUCGAGGAAAAGAUCAAGACUAAGAUAGAGCUACCAAGCCAAAGAUCGAGCUAAAAAUUAAGACUAAGCCGAGAUGAAGAUCGAGAUUGAGCUAUCAAGCUUAAUGCACUUCACCAAGCCAAGGUGAAGAUGAAGACCGAAGCUGAGGUCCCAAAGGCCAACCUUCAAAAAAUCGAGCUCCCAAAAGCCGAACUCUCAAAGUAAGAGCUCCCAAAGGUCGAACUCUCAAAGCAAAAGCUCCCAA